rnacentral:tRNA from 1 species
AGAAAAGUAAGCUAAUUAAGCUAAUGGGUUCAUACCCCAUAAAUAGAGGUUUCCUCUCUUCUCUA